GAUGAACGCUGGCGGCGUGCCUAAUACAUGCAAGUAGAACGCUGAAGCUUGGUGCUUGCACCGAGCGGAUGAGUUGCGAACGGGUGAGUAACGCGUAGGUAACCUGCCUCUUAGCGGGGGAUAACUAUUGGAAACGAUAGCUAAUACCGCAUAAAAGACGAUAUCGCAUGAUAUUGAUUUGAAAGGUGCAAAUGCAUCACUAAGAGAUGGACCUGCGUUGUAUUAGCUAGUUGGUGAGGUAACGGCUCACCAAGGCAACGAUACAUAGCCGACCUGAGAGGGUGAUCGGCCACACUGGGACUGAGACACGGCCCAGACUCCUACGGGAGGCAGCAGUAGGGAAUCUUCGGCAAUGGGGGCAACCCUGACCGAGCAACGCCGCGUGAGUGAAGAAGGUUUUCGGAUCGUAAAGCUCUGUUGUAAGAGAAGAACGAGUGUGAGAGUGGAAAGUUCACACUGUGACGGUAACUUACCAGAAAGGGACGGCUAACUACGUGCCAGCAGCCGCGGUAACACGUAGGUCCCGAGCGUUAUCCGGAUUUAUUGGGCGUAAAGCGAGCGCAGGCGGUUAGAUAAGUCUGAAGUUAAAGGCUGUGGCUUAACCAUAGUACGCUUUGGAAACUGUUUAACUUGAGUGCAGAAGGGGAGAGUGGAAUUCCAUGUGUAGCGGUGAAAUGCGUAGAUAUAUGGAGGAACACCGGUGGCGAAAGCGGCUCUCUGGUCUGUAACUGACGCUGAGGCUCGAAAGCGUGGGGAGCAAACAGG
rnacentral:rRNA from 1 species